rnacentral:rRNA from 1 species
UACAGGGGGUGCAAACGUUGCUCGGAAUUAUUGGGCGUAAAGCGCACGUAGGCGGUUCGUUAUGUCAGAUGUGAAAGCCCUUGGCUCAACUGAGGAAGUGCAUCUGAAACUGGCGAGCUAGAGUAUGUAAGAGGGUCGCGGAAUUCCCGGUGUAGAGGUGAAAUUCGUAGAUAUCGGGGGGAACACCGGUGGCGAAGGCGGCGACCUGGGACAAUACUGACGCUGAGGUGCGAAAGCGUGGGGAGCAAACAGG